rnacentral:tRNA from 1 species
GGGACCGUGGCGCAAUUGGCGGCGCAACUGUUUUGCACACAGAAGGUUGAGGGUUCGAACCCCUCCGGCUCCA